rnacentral:snRNA from 1 species
AGCUAACAUAGCUCUCUUAGAAUUUUUCUACCAGGUUUUCUGACUUUUGUCAGAAAAUCCAA